UAGAGUUUGAUCCUGGCUCAGAGCGAACGCUGGCGGCAGGCCUAACACAUGCAAGUCGAGCGCCCGUAGCAAUACGGGAGCGGCAGACGGGAGAGUAACACGUGGGAACGCGCCCUUCGGUUCGGAAUAACUCAGGGAAACCUGAGCUAAUACCGGAUACGCCCUUACGGGGAAAGAUUUAUUGCCGAAGGAACGGCCCGCGUCCGAUUAGCUAGUUGGUGAGGUAACGGCUCACCAAGGCGACGAUGGGUAGCUGGUCUGAGAGGACGAUCAGCCACACUGGGACUGAGACACGGCCCAGACUCCUACGGGAGGCAGCAGUGGGGAAUCUUGCGCAAUGCGCGAAAGCGUGACGCAGCAACGCCGCGUGCGGGAAGACGGCCUUCGGGUUGUAAACCGCUUUCAGUUGGGACGAAGGUUCAUGGGUUAAUAGCCAGAUGGACUGACGGUACCUUCACAAGAAGCCCCGGCUAACUACGUGCCAGCAGCCGCGGUAAUGUCGGCC
rnacentral:rRNA from 1 species